GAUGAACGCUGGCGGCGUGCUUAACACAUGCAAGUCGAACGGAAAGGCCCAAGCUUGCUUGGGUACUCGAGUGGCGAACGGGUGAGUAACACGUGGGUGAUCUGCCCUGCACUUCGGGAUAAGCCUGGGAAACUGGGUCUAAUACCGGAUAGGACGAUGGUUUGGAUGCCAUUGUGGAAAGUUUUUUCGGUGUGGGAUGAGCUCGCGGCCUAUCAGCUUGUUGGUGGGGUAUUGGCCUACCAAGGCGUCGACGGGUAGCCGGCGUGUGAGGGUGUACGGCGACAUAGGGGGUGAGAUACGGCGCAGACUCCUACGGGAGGGAGCAGAGGGGAGAAUUGCACAAUGGGCGCAGGCCUGAUGCGGCGAAGCCGCGUGUGGGAUGACGGCGUUCGGGUUGUAAACUCCUUUCGCUAGGGACGAAGCGUUUUUGUGACGGUACCUGGAAAAGAAGCACCGGCUAACUACGUG
rnacentral:rRNA from 1 species